CCUACGGGAGGCUGCAGUAGGGAAUAUUGCUCAAUGGGGGAAACCCUGAAGCAGCAACGCCGCGUGGGGGAUGAAGGUCCUCGGCUUGUAAACCCCUUUUGUUAGAGAAGAAAAUGACGGUAUCUAAAGAAUAAGCACCGGCUAACUCCGUGCCAGCAGCCGCGGUAAUACGGAGGGGGCAAGCGUUAUCCGGAUUUACUGGGCGUAAAGAGCGCGUAGGCGGGAAAGCAAGUCAGAUGUGAAAUCCUAGGGCUUAACCAUAGGACUGCUUUUGAAACUGGUAUUCUAGAGUGUGGGAGAGGCAGGGGGAAUUCGUGGUGUAGGGGUAAAAUGCGUAGAUAUCAAGAGGAACACUGAUUGCGAAGGCGACCUGCUGGAACACAACUGACGUUGAUGCGCGAAAGCGUGGGGAGCAAACAGGAUUAGAUACCCCAGUAGUC
rnacentral:rRNA from 1 species